GGAGUCCAGUAUUAAGAGAUCUGGACCCCACAGGACAACAAUUCCUAUGGUGAAUUUGCUGAAUCUGCUGAAUUUGAUCCACUCGUACCUCAUUCGGUAAACCC
rnacentral:lncRNA from 1 species